GGAUGUGAGGGCGAUCUGGCUGCGACAUCUGUCACCCCAUUGAUUGCCAGGGUUGAUUCGGCUGAUCUGGCUGGCUAGGCGGGUGUCCCCUUCCUCCCUCACCGCUCCAUGUGCGUCCCUCCCGAAGCUGCGCGCUCGGUCGAAGAGGACGACCAUCCCCGAUAGAGGAGGACCGGUCUUGGGUCAAGGGUAUAUGAGUAGCUGCGCUCCCCUGCUAGAACCUCCAAACAAGCUCUCAAGAACUUUACCAUCGACAAUUGUAUAACUGAGUUAGUUGUCUCUUAGUCAUUACAGCUCUCCUGUGCCCCUAGCACACUCUGAAAGAG
ensembl:misc_RNA 7SK 7SK RNA